rnacentral:snoRNA from 1 species
AAGCAGUAAUGAAAUUCCACUUCAUUGGUCCAUAUUUCUGAAUCGCAUGGUUUUCUUGGAUAUUCUGAUACU